AUUGAACGCUGGCGGCAGGCCAAACACAUGCAAGUCGAGCGAGCGGCGGACGGGUGAGUAAUGUAUGGGGACUGCCCGAUAGAGGGGGAUAACUACUGGAAACGGAGGCUAAUACCGCAUACUAUCGGAUAACCCAUAUGGGAUUAGCUAGUAGGUGGGGUAAAGGCUCACCUAGGCGACGAUCGCUAGCUGGUCUGAGAGGAUGAUCAGCCAAACUGGGACUGAGAAACGGCCCAGACUCCUACGGAGGCAGGAGUGGGGAAUAUUGGACAAUGGGCGGAAGCCUGAUGGAGCCAUGCCGCGUGGAUGAAAAAGGGCUUAGGGUUGUAAAGGACUUUCAGCGGGGAGGCGUUACCCGCAGAAGAAGCAACGGCUAACUCCGUGGCAGCAGCCGCGGUAAUUC
rnacentral:rRNA from 1 species